rnacentral:rRNA from 1 species
AAGUCGUAACAAGGUUUCCGUAGGUGAACCUGCGGAAGGAUCAUUAUUGAAAUAAUCCUGAUGGGUUGCUGCUGGUUCUCUAGGGAACAUGUGCACACUCGUCAUCUUUAUAUCUUCACCUGUGCACCUUUUGUAGGCCUAGAUAUUUUUCAGAGUGCCUCCCANCAUUCUGGUAUGAGGAAUGACUUUGCUGUCUUUCCUUACAUUUUUAGGCCUAUGUUUCUUCAUAUACCCCAAUGUAUGUUACAGGAUGUAGUCAAUAGGUGUUUGUGCCUAUAAAUCUAUACAACUUUCAGCAACGGAUCUCUUGGCUCUCGCAUCGAUGAAGAACGCAACGAAAUGCGAUAAGUAAUGUGAAUUGCAGAAUUCAGUGAAUCAUCGAAUCUUUGAACGCACCUUGCGCUCCUUGGUGUUCCAAGGAGCAUGCCUGUUUGAGUGUCAUUAAUAUAUCAAUCUCCUCAGCUUUUUUGCUUGUUGAGUUUAGGAUGUGGGGGUUCUGUUUUGCUGGCUUCUUUUCAAGAGGUCAGCUCCCCUAAAAUGCAUUAGUAGUAUCUAGGCUACUAGUACGUGUGAUAAUUUAUCUAUGCCUUUUAGUGUCACAACAGAUUACACUGCUUCUAACCAAAAUAAUGACAAACUUUACCUCAAAUAAGGUAGGACUACCCGCUGAGCUUAA